AGUAGGCAUGAUUUAGGAUUUUUGUUUCUAUUCAUGACUUUCUAUAAAUGGUUGCCCACCUAAUUUGAAAUAUGAUAUGAAUUUAUGAUAUCUUUAUCACAUAAAAGAGUGGCAGUGUCAUCACAACAGUAUAAAAACCAAUUACUGUGGGCUCUAUUUUACAAAUACUAUAUAAAUAUACAAUAACAUUUUUUUAAUAUAACAUUUUUUUCCUAAUUUUACAACUGUAUACAGUUGUAAAAUUUGUAACGUCUCUCUGGAGCAGGGGGUGAGCGGAGGUGAGACACUGGGAACAAGGAUGGGCUCAUAUUCGUUCUUAAGAGUUUUUUGUUGGGCAUAUAGAGAGGGGAACUCAUAUAUGGGGGGGGGGGAUUCAAAUGUUACAUGUCAAAAUCUAAGUUAGUCCUUUAUGAACAUUUUUGAGGGACACCCGGGAUACAUUUCUAACAGUCUUCCUUUGUAAAGCGAUGAUUGGGCUAAGAAAAUUUCAAGAUGUCAUUGCUGUUGAAAUGACUUAAUACAUCACUAAUAAUACUAAAGCUUAUGUUGCUGAUAAUAUACCAUCCAGCAUCUAUUUUUGACAAAAUUGUUGCACAAACCAUAUUCCAAUGUUUGCGAUUUGACCGUUGCAUAUGGCUGUCAAAAACGUCCAGAUUAGUUAGAUUAUUGUUUUCUAAAACAUUGCGCGGCUCGUGAUUUUAGAACUCUUUUUAUGCUUUAACCAAUUGAGUGGCAGCACUCUCCACUUGACAAGUAAAAUCCUGUUGCGUUAGACAGUAAAAUACUAAAGUAGGGUGCAUCUGGGCGCAAUGCAACUUAAAGGGUUAAAUUAACCAAAAAAAGUUCAUACAUUUGUUUGAAAAGAUUUUCACACAGUACCAUGCCUGUUUGUAUUUUGAAGUUCCUUGAGUUACACAUGAUACUGCAUGUACAUAAAUAUAUACGAAGAACGUAACCCCUGGGGGGAAUAAAACCCUGUAGGGAACCACCUUCAGACCAAUUUACACUCACCUGCGACAAAAUAGGGAGGUUGUGUGCUUGUUUUGCACAGUGCAACUCAAGUUGUAAGCAUCUUGCAUGGGACCAUCUGAUGCACAAGACUUUCCUCUUGACGAGUAAAAUGAUCUAAUAUCAGACAUUUUUGUUCCUUUGCAGCUUAAGGAGUUAAUCCUAUUUAUGCCAUAGCUUUCCACGAGCACAAGUAGUGUUAGAUUAAUUUGCCAUGUAAUACAAGUGGAAAUAUAAGACAGAAAUAAGUAUAACUACA
rnacentral:lncRNA from 1 species